rnacentral:piRNA from 1 species
UGUAGAAUGCAUGAAUGAAAGGGCC